GCUGUUGAAUAUUAAUCCUCUCAAAAAAAGGUUUGAAGAAAUUUUCUUUUUAUUUAUGAAAUCUGAAAUGAGAAAAAUUUAACCCCCCCCCUUUUUUUUCACAUCCCGUUUCCUUUUCAAAACUGAUAUCAAUUCAAAUUUCUAAUGGAGUUUGCAACAAUAACUACUCAUUUAAAUACAUCAUAAAAUAUUAAGAUGUAAAAAAACUGCUUGUUAUCACUGAAUGGUAAAGAUUAUUUAAAUUUAUCAGUUGGUAGUAAAAAGUGUAUAUACAUUGUAUAUUGUAUAUACAAAAGAUUUAAGUUGAUUCUGGACAAAGAAAAGAUAACUCCAAUUAAAAAAAAUUCUUGCUAUUGACAAUAUUGUGCAAUAGGAUAUUUCUUGCUUACUAUUCUGGACAAAGAAAGAUAACUCUAAUUAAAACAAAAUUUGCUAUUUCACAAUAUUGUGCAAUUAGAUAUUUCUUGCCAUUGCACAAUACUGUGCAAUUGAAAAGACUUGCAUUGCACAAUACUUAAUAUAAUAAUUUUAGAUCCUGAUUUGGACCAACUUGAAAACUGGGCCCAUAAUCAAAAAUCUAAGUACAUGUUUAGAUUCAGCAUAUCAAAGAGGCCCAAGAAUUCAAUUUUUGUUAAAAUCAAACUUAGUUUAAUUUUGGACCCUUUGGACUUUAAUGUAGAAUUUGAAAUUUGAAACAGGACCAAAAAUGAAGAAUCUACAUACACAGUUAGAUUUGGCAUAUCAAAGAACCCCAAGGAUGCAAUUUUUGAUGAAAUCAAAAAAGUUUAAUUUUGGACCUUUGGACCUUAAUGUAGACCAAUUUGAAAACUGGACCAAAAAACUUCAAUAAUCAAGAAUCUAAGUACAUUUUUAGAUUCAACAUAUCAAAGAACCCAACCGAUUCAUUUUUUGUCAAAAUCAAACUAAGUUUAAUUUUGGACCCUUUGGACCUUAAUGUAGACCAAUUGAAACAGGACCAAAAGUUGAGAAUCUACAUAUACAGUUAGAUUCGGCAUAUCAAAGAACCCCAAUUAUUCAAUUUUGAUGAAAUCAAACAAAGUUUAAUUUUGACCCUUUGGGCCCCUUUUCCUAAACUGUUGGGACCAAAACCCCAAAUCAAUACCACCCUUCCUUUUAUGGUCAUAAGCCUUGUGUUUAAAUUUCAUAAUUUGUAUUUAUUAUACUAACAUUUAUAGUGCGAAAACCAAGAAAAAUGCUUAUUUGGGUCCCUUUUGGCCCUAAUUCCUAAACUGUUUGGGUCUAAACUCCCAAAAUCAAUACCAACCUUCCUUUUGUGGUCAUAAACAUUGUGUUUAAAUUUCAUAGAUUUCUAUUUACUUAACCUAAGGUUAUUGUGCAAAAACCAAGAAAAAUGCUUAUUUGGGCCCUUUAUUGGCCCCUUAUUCCUAAACUAUUGAACCAAAACUCCCAAAAUCAAUCCCAAUCUUUUUUUGUGGUCAUAAACCUUGUGUCAAAAUUUCAUAAUUUCUAUUAACUUAAACUAAAGUUAUGGUGCGAAAACCAAGAAAAUGCUUAUUUGGGCCCUUUUUGGCCCCUUAUUCCUAAAAUGAUGGGACCAAAACUCCCAAAAUCAAUACCAACCUUCCUUUUAUGGUCAUAAACCUUGUGUUAAAAUUUCAUAGAUUUCUAUUCACUUUUACUAAAGUUAGAGUGCGAAAACUAAAAGUAUUCGGACGCCGGACGACGACGACGCCGACGCCGACGCCAACGUGAUAGCAAUAUACGACGAAAAUUUUUUCAAAAUUUGCGGUCGUAUAAAAAAUCAUCUAAACGUUUUAAUUACGCUGUGUUGUGAAGGGAAUAUUAAGCUUCUCAAUGAUCAAAAUUGGUGUUUGUCAAACUGCUAUAUAACCAGUGUAAUUUUUCUGAUAAAAUGAUUGGUUCAAAAUUUUUGAAAUUUUUAUAUUUUUGUCAAAGGGUCAAAGUAAAUACUUUGUAAAAAUUUUACAAAAAUUAAACGAGCCAAAUUAAUUUUAAUGAAGGUGUUGGGUACCACCUUAAAUUCCUAAAUGAGACUAUUGAAAAGUUGGCAGGUAUGAUCUUUCAUACUUCUUUCACAAGUACAUAUUUCAUUGUACAUUGUAUUCAUAAUAUUAAGUGUAAAUAAAAAUAAAUAUAAGAAAGACAUACAAAUGUAUAUAAACUGAUUGUGGUGUUAAUUACUGAAGAACACAUUCAUCCUUUUCUUUUUUAGAAUGCUUAUUCAGAUGAGCUGAGGAAUUUCCAGCACUAGAAGCAGGUUUUGCAAUUGAACUUUGCAUUGUGGGAGUAGUUGAACUUUUCACUGGAUGGGGAUAAACUAAGGGACCUCCCAUGUGCAUCGGUAGUGAGGCAGCACUUCCUGGAUAAACUAUCUGUUGAUUCACUGAGGGUUGAACCAUGGGUUGAUACACUAAGGGUUGGACCAUGGGUUUUUCUACUGAUUGUUGAACCAUGGGUUGAUUCACUUGGGGCUGAACCAUGGGUUUCUCAACAUCGACUGGUUCCAUGGGUUUCGCCACUUGGACUGGUUCCUUGUCUGUGUACAUGAUGAUGUACUCUGGGUAACAUUGGUUCCUAUCAAACACAACAAAGAUUUGUGGAUCUUCAACUUUAUCCACACAUGAAUCAUACAGCUUAUGAAUCUGUUCAGGAAUUUCUGGAGGUCGACGUAGGGAUGGAUUCCCCUCUGUGAACUUUCCAACUAAAACUUUGGCUCUGAAUAAAAAUCGCAUAUCUGUAAGGGAAUCAGCUUUUGUAUAACUAUGACUUAAUCUGGCACGGACAGCAAAGUAGGAACCUUCACCGUAUACUGUAGCAUUGCGACCACUAGUUCUAAAGUCAAAAUUAUUGGUACAAAUACCACGGCAUGUAUCCAAGGAAUCUGUGCCAUGAAAUAAAUCUCUCUCAUCAAUAUUUUGACCACGGCCAUCUUGUUCAGCAUCAGCUAACAUGAGCUUCUUCUUUCUGCAAAACAAAAAAAUCCCAGUUUUUAGAAUGUUAUAUACUGUUAAGAAUUAUUCACAUGCUUUUUACUUAAUAUUAAGAUUAUUUAUAUUGUAUCCUGUCCGAUUUAAUUUAGUGUUGAUUUUGCCUGUUUGUUUUUUUGUCAGUUAAAUCAUUGGCAUGUAUCUUUUUCGCAUUUCAUAGCUAUGUUCAACGCACUUAGAUGAAAAGUUAAUUAUUUAAACUAAUGCUAAAUUUAACAGUAAAAUGUCUUUCGAAAAAUUAGACAAUCACUUAAAUUUACCAACAUACAGUAUAAUCUUUUUAGAAAAACCUAAUGAGCAUGAUGUAGGAAAAGUUCAUAACGUACAAAUUUAUUCUCUUCCAUUCUUAAAUUGUUCCCUAUUUACCCUUCCAGAUUUAGAGCACCUGAGAUCACCUAAGUUUUUUUAGGGAUUGGUGUUGAUCAGUCUUUAGGUUUUUAUGUAAUGUGUUAUGUACUUUUGUUUGUUUGUUUGUUUGUCUGUCUGUCUGUUUGUUUUUUUUUUCUUUUUUGGCCAUGGCAUUUAUUUCAAUUUAUGAGUUUGAAUGUCCCUCUGGUAUCUUUCAACUUUCUAUUAAUUUUUUUUAAAGACUUAAAGAAAACUAAAUUAAUUUGAUUAAACUAUAUAUAGCUACAAUAACUUCUAAAUAUUUUAUAAUUCCAAAAAUUGGACCUGAACUAGAGGUGAUGUACACAUAAACACUUGUAUUUCAAUUUUGAUAGCAUCUACUGAAAUAAUUGCAAUAAUUAAUCUCACAUGUUGUCCCAUUUUCAAAAAUAGUAAAAAUGUAUGCAUGCAAAAGUUUCUAAAUUUACAGUAUCAAAUAAAGCUAAAUGGCUUUAAAUUUCAUGCGACAAUACAAAAUUUAACACUGAAAAAUUAGUUCUACAUUAAAUAAUUAGAAAUAAAAAAAUAUACUCACAUGUCGUAUUCAACCCAAAUUUUCCUGUUCUGAAUUCUAUAAAUAAAUUUGAAAUCAAAUUUUGAAGGGUCCAUAGAAUCAAAUAAUGACUUCAUGACAUCUUUGUACUCCUUCCCUGUCUUAUCAAGCUCUACUGGUUCAAAGUCAUGGGAACAGUCCCAGUUGUAGAAAUGUGCUGGCUUUGGUGUACUCAUAGCAGAUGGGAACGGUAUACUGUCUAAACUAAAAUGGAAAAUACACGAUUGAAAUCUGUCUUUCAGUUAUAAGUUAAGAUAUACGUAACUUUCUUACAAUUUGAAUAUUCAGCAUAGCUUUUGUAACAUUGUAAGUAAGUUAUGUUGUCAACGUAUAUUUGUUCCCCCUAACAGAAGUUCCACUGGAAACUUUGUUAUAAACAAUGUCAUAAUACCUAUUCCUGUUGGAACAAAUAUUCUAUACUAUUUAUAUAGGAACAUAUACUGUAAUAUUUAUUCUUAUAAAAAUAAUAUUCCAGAAUAUUUUUUUCAUUUUGGAAGUUAUAUUAUGAAGGAACUUAUAUUCCGUGACAAUGUAAAUGUGGAAUUUUUUGUUUAACAUAAUUUUGUCAAUGGAAUCAAUGCAAAUGUUUUAUCAAUAUACAAUAAACUUGCUUUUUUGUUUUCAGUGAACAAAAUUAAACUGUAUGCUAUAGAUUCAAUUUGGAACAAAGGAAGAUAACUCCAAUUAUAAUACUACCUACACAGUAAAUUCAGUAAAAAAGUCUCCCAUUGAUGUCAAUGCAGACCUAUCAUUUCAAUUAAAGUUAUACCUGGUUUACCUUUAGAAAUAUAUCAUUUAUGAAAGAUGACAGUAUAAAUGUAGCCCGAUCUUUUGCAACAAAUAAAACAUAACUAAGGGUCAAGUCAUUUUUUGGGCCAUUCACACUAAAUUCUUACACUGACCCCAUCACUCUUCAACACUGCAGUGAAAAGAUUAAGUAAAUUCAACAUUCAUUUUCAAUUCUUUUUUAAACCUAAUCUACCUUUCAAAAAAUAAAAUUUAAUACAAGCAUUUUCUACAAAUCAGUGGACCACAGAAGUUCAGUGUUAUAAAAGGCAAUUCUUAAUGACAUUUAUUUAUUUAACCUUUAAUAGCCUCAUUUUUUAAUAGAAAGAGACACACUUGUAACUGCCCAAUGUUCUGUAGACCCCAUCCAGACCCUCAUAAGAAAUAUUCAAGCAGACUUACAAUAAUUUUUAGAACUUACAAUUUUUCUCGCAAAACAUCAUCUUUGGAAACAAACAAGGGACGUCUGAUAAUUUCUCUAACUUUAUCUGUUUCAAGAUUAACCUGUACCAUUUUCAUAAAGUCUAUUUUGUACAUCAAAAAAUUAUUCUCCUUGGAAAACAAAUAGCUCUUCUGCUUUGUUUGAUAUUUCCUCUCAAGUGUGAACAGGAAUAAAUCCUAGAAAAAAAUACAUGUACAUAAAAUAUUUUAUCAGUGUACCUGUCCUUCUAAAUAUGUUUAUACUACUACUACUGGCCACUACUUGUGAACAAUGAUUCUAUUACGGUGACAUCUAAUUGCCUACAGAACUUCAGUCAAGAAAUAUUAAAUUCAAAUGAUUAAGUUUGAUUGAAUUUCAUAAAUUAAUAAAUUGUAAAAAACUAAAUGAGUUAUUUUGUCACUCGGUUUCUUCUGUCUCAUCAACAUAUAUCCCAACCCUUCUUUUAUUCAUAUAUGUAAGUUCAGGUUUAAAUAUAAUGUGUGAGGUUGCAAAACAUGAAAUAUAUCUUAUUUGGCUUGAUUAUAAUCAUAAUUUCACAAGGGGCCUAAAUGGCCAUUUGGUACAAGUAGUAACAGCAAUCACUAGCCUGUCAACACUGAGAAUAAAGUUGAAACACCACAGACGGCAGGUGAGUAUAGCUAUAUUCUUAAUAGAUUAGAAUUGCCAAUUUUCAAAAGCAGGUAAAAAUUGUGGUUCUGUCUGUCUGUCCUCCACCGAUAAAGUUUGGCAACCAUGAUAUAACCAAAAGCGCUGAAAUUGGCGCCAUGGGCUUUCCUAAUUGUUGAAGAUUGUACGGUGACCUAUAGGUGUUAAUUUCUGUGUUAUUUUGUCUCUUGUGACAAGUUGUCUCAUGGGCUAUCAUACCCCAUCUACUUUUAUAUAGUAGAUUAAAGCACCAACAAUCAAUAAAUAAUAAUGCUCCAUGUCUCUCCAUGGUUGUUCAGUCUGGACACUUCAGAUUCCUACAGCAAUGGAUUUUUGCCAAGAGUGCAGAAAUUUGUGUUAAAUACCCCUAUAACUGCUGACCGGGAAAUACAAAUGUCUUUUAAUUUUACUCAAUAGAACCCAGAAUUAAAAAACAUGCUUUUUGACAUAAAUCAAUCUUAUGUAUUAUAUAUUUCUGAAUAUGCAGUAUAUGAACACCAUCAAUAAAUUAAUUCUAUAAUGUCACAUGUCUCACCUUGUUGAACAUAAUCCACUUUUCAACAUCAUCUUUCCAAUACCAUCUCCACUGUGUAAGAUAACUAUUGACAGUCAUUUUCUUCUCAGCGAAAGAUGGAGUACAGAGACGUCUGACAGUUGACCACUGGUCAUCAUCAGCUGCUGGCUGACCAUUAACAUCUAAAAUAACUGCAUGCAUCUUUUGGAACCAAAUAUGACAGUUGUAUAUGUUGUCAUCGCAUUUCAUCUGAAAAAAAAUUGUCUUUCAAUCAGGUUAAAAAGUAAUCCAUUUGAAUAUAACAUCCUCCAGGAAAAAAAACAUACUAUUCAGUUUGCAAUUUAUGACACCUAUGAUGCCCCUGCUUGCAUAUAACCUUAUAAUGGGACAUAACUCAAGAACGAUUAAUGAUACUACCAAAAGGUGUACUUGAUUAGAGUGUUUGUGGUUAUAUUCAUGGUGUAUAAGCUCCAUAAAAUUUGGUUGAAGCAAACUUAAAUCAAAAAGGCGAAAACAAACAUUCAGCAAUUAUUCAAUUUGUAGAGAAGCAUAACUCUAGAACAUCAAAAGUGAUGCCACCAAAAUUCAAACUUGAUCUCUGUUUUGUUGUAAAACCAUUGUGUAUAAGAUUUGUAAUGUUUGGUUCUGGCAAACUGAAGAAAGACACACAAGAGAAUGGAAACAAAAAUUUUGCAAAUUUUCUGUUUGUAAAGGGGCAUAACUCUAUAAAGGUAUAAGUGUUUUGUGGUAAUAAGCAUUGUGUAUAAGUUUCAUAGCAUUUGGUUGAGGCAAGCAAAAGUUAAAGAAAUGAAACCAAUUUUAGGAUGUACGGAUAUACAGAUGGACAAGGGUAAAACAUAAAGCUCCUCCACUAAGGUAGGGCAUAAAAUAGCGAAAUGCAUACAUACAUUUACUAAUUAUAUAUUAACAUUUUCAUUUCAAAUACCAUGACCUUAUAUCCCGGUACAUGCACGACAUAUUUGCCACUGAACAUAAAGCAACAUUCAAUCAAUCAAUUUUCAAUUUCUAUUUUACCCAUUUGAAUCCAAACAAAUUAUGAUAUGUGUGGUUUUUUUUUUACAUAGGUUUUAGAAAUAAAUUCAGUUAAAAUGCAAGUGAUCCUGCUAAAAUAAUGGAAAAAAUUAUGCUAUUGAAACAUUUUAGCACUAAUAAUAUAUGGUAUCUAUACGGCAUGCAUGUGUAGAAUAAUUUGCCUAAUAUAAAAAAUGGGAGUUUAAAAAAACAAUUCAGUUAUACAAACUGUUUAAACUUACUUCUGUUGGUGCAACAUCUUGCAGAUCACAGAAAGAUUUUUCUAUUUUCUCAUUUUCCAAUAAUGAACACGAAAACCAUUUCCCAGAUAUCUUAAUCUGCCACAAGUACGGAAAGCCAGAUGGCAGGUGAUGUCUUUUACAGGAUGCAAAUGUACAUUUAUUUUUCGAAACAAAUACACAGAUUCUGGUACUUUCUGUUUCAUCUGUCAAUAAAGAAGAAUCAGUUUCUUGAUAAUCUGGAUCAGAUGGGGAUGGUGCUGAAUCUAAUUUCACAUCAUCCUGUUGUGGUAUAGAACUUCUUGCCUGUUGUUGAUUCCACUGUUCCAUUAGUAAUCUCUCUCUUUCAAUAAUAUUGUCGUCAUUAUUAUGUUUUUGUUGCUGUUCUUUUUUCCAAUUUUCCAUCUGAAUUCUCUCUUUCUCCUUUAUGUCAUCAUCAUCAAGUAAGUUUUGAUGGAUAUCUUUUGAGUUUUUAUCAUUGCCUUGUUUCUCACCUUUCUGGUUUUCCAUCAUUUUGUCCUCUUUUUCUUCUUCAUUACAUUGCUGUUGAUUCUUUUUUAAUGUGUCAUCCUCAUAGUCUUGCUGAACUUGUUCACUGUUUUCCAUAGUUAUCUUCUCUUCCUCAAUUAUUUUGUCAUCAUCUCCAUCACCAUCAUCAUUAGGGCCAUUAUCAUCACCAAUUUCAUUAUUAUUAUCAUUGUCUUCAGCAUUAUUUUCAUAAUCAUAAUCACCAUACUCAUGAUCAUAAUCUCCACCCUCAUUGACAUCAUAGUUAUAAUCAUUUUCAUCAUAAUCAUAAUCAUUGCCAUCAUAAUUAUCUUGAUAAUCAUCAUUAUCUCCAUAAUCAAAACCAUCAUCUAACUCAUUACCAUCACCAUUUCCUUGAUGAACCUGGGUCUGAUCUUCCGUUAAUAUCAUUUCUUUCUCUCCAGGACCACUUUCAACAUUCAUAUCACCAUUAUCAUCCUCGUCAUUACCAUCACCAUAAUAAUCAUAAUCAUCAUCAUCAUCAUCAUUAUCAUCACCAUUACCAUCACCAUAAUCAUCAUUACCGUCACCAUAAUUGUUAUAAUCAACUUUACGAUCACAAAAAUUCUCUGUAUCAACUUUAUUAUCACCGUAAUCAUCAUCAACGCUACCAUCACCAUAAUCAUCUUCAUCAUCAUAACUACUUUCUGUUUCAACCAUUUCUGUUAAAUCUUGAUCAUCUUUACCCACAAUUCCACAUGUGAUAUUUUCCAAUGAUCUAAACCUUUCUUUACGAUCAUGCGUUGACCUUGUCCCUUCCUUGUUGUAAUCAAUACUAAGGUUUUCAACUGAAUGUAAAUUUUUAUUUUUUGCAGGACCCGAUGCAGAACUAGAAAGACUUUCAUUGCUGACAUAGACAUCACUGUCAUAAUCAAAAACGCUAGACUCCUCAAGGUCAUGAAGGUCGUCUUCAUCAUGACUCAGGUCAGAAUCAUCUGAAUAAUUAUCAUUCUCUUUCUUUUCUCUAGCAGGUACAUAUAUAGCCUUGAGGACUUUAGCAGGAGGCCAGUCUUUCAUAUGACAUGAUGUAAGAACCCAUUUAUUGUGAAACUGAUUAAUGGUGUGUGUUCUAUUAAAUUUGCAAGGAUCUGGACAUUUUCCGAAUAUUUUCUGGCGACAUAAGUGUAAAUGAGGACAUUUUCUUUCUGGGUUAUCGACCUUACAACCAUUGUUGUAAAUAUAAUCUGCACAAACUGAAGGUGAAUUGCAAUUUAGGACAAUUUUCAUUUCAUCAUCACUAAAAUUGACAAUUCCAAGUUUGUUUUUCAAACGAUAAUUGUGAGGACCUCUAAAACUAUGAGACAGUGGACAAUCUUUCUCUUGACAGUUGCCUCUAAUGAAGCGACGACAGAUGUGAAAAUAAUCCCAAUGAGCAUUUUGACAUUCUGCAGGAUUUUUCUUGCUGUUCCACUCAGCACAAAUUUUAGCAUCUCUGUAAAAUGGUUGAAGAUAAACAAUAUCUUUUUUAUCCCAGAAAAUAUGAAAUCUUCUAUUGUUUUUUCUGAACCACAGCACAAUAUUGGAGCCCAAAGGAAAAAGGUCACACCUUUGUAAAAAGUCUUCAAAACUACAUCCUCCGCCAAAAGUUUUGAUCAUGAAUUUAAAUACUUCAUUUUCAUCCACGUCUGGUAUUUUGCCAUUUUGGUCCUCAUUAUCAUGUUCAUGUACCUGUUGACCAACUUUAUCUUUGCCGUCACCACGUCUACAAUCUUUUCCGAGUCUUCUUUUUAAUCUAGCUUCAGAUCUUUUAUUAUCACAAUUCUGUUGACCAUCACCUGUUAAUUAGUAAUUAAUACACAUGGAAAAUACUUACAAGUACUAUUUAUAGGUUGAAAAGUAUAUAAUCAGUACUGUGAUUAGUACUAAUUUUAGCCAGCAAUUUAUUUUCAAGACUUUCACAAGUAGAAAAAUAACCCCAAUAUAAAUAGCUGCAAAAUUUUAAUAAACUUGGACGGUUCCUAAUCUUACUUCAUUAAGUGAAUUUGAAAAUCACAAAAUCAAAUAGCCUCAAGGUGGACUAGAACAAAGGGUUAAACAUGUUAAACAUGAAAUAAAGUAUUCACAAAAAUAAGCGCUCAUGAAAAAAAAAGACACAUCUUUCAUGAAGUCUGCGUUAGGGGCUGUCUUUGAUACACUUGCAGUGAGGUGAAAGUGUUUUUCUCCAUGUUCAAGGCCUCACUGUGACUUUGAGAUGAAGAAUAGCAAUAAAAGCACUGUUCCUUUAUGUUUUGUAUGUAUUUUUCGUUGUCCAUGUGAUGAUUUUGUGUCAUAGGGUCUCCAUAUCCUUUGUUUUCCAUUACAUAAUGUUUUGUUUACCUUUUUGUAUAUUGAUUCCUGUCUGUGAUACAGGCCCAGGCAACAAAACUUGAGGCUGUGACUCUUGAGGAGGUGGAGUCUGAGUCAACUGAGUAACAGGAACUGGCACAUAUACAUCUGUAUUAAACAAAACAUACUUGUUCAUGUUAUUAUAGAUAUCUAUUUCAGUUCUUAUAAUACAUAUAAAAUACCAAAAGUAUCUACAUUGUAUCAUGCAUAUUUAUUACAGUCAUGAUUUGACUCAAUUGAAAUAUAAUUUAUUCUUAAAUUUCUAGCAUUUGCCAUCUUCAAAUAAUAUAGAACAUGUAGAAGUAGCUAUAUAGGCAACUAAGAUAUAAAGUGCACUGUACAGCUUACAACAAUGAACAACCAGAUGCUCCGCAGGGCGUAGCUUUAUAUGACCGCAGAGGUUGAACCCUGAACGGUUGGGGCAAGUAUGGACACAACAUUCAAGCUGGAUUCAGCUCUAAAUUUGGAUUGUGAUUAAAUAGUUGACACAGCAUAGGUUUCUGACACAGAAUGAAUGUGUUCUAAUGAACUUAAAAUUUUUGUUUUCUCUUAGAGCAAUUCACUAUGCUGUUGAAUAUUAAUCCUCUCAAAAAAAUGUUUGAAGAAAUUUUCUUUUUUAUUUAUGAAAUUUCAAAUGA
rnacentral:lncRNA from 1 species